UACGAAGGGGGCUAGCGUUGCUCGGAAUCACUGGGCGUAAAGGGUGCGUAGGCGGUUUUGUAAGUCAGUGGUGAAAUACUCUAGCUUAACUAGAGGGGUGCCAAUGAUACUGCGGAACUUGAGUACAGAUGAGGUAGGCGGAAUUGACGGUGUAGCGGUGAAAUGCAUAGAUAUCGUCAAGAACACCGAUAGCGAAGGCAGCUUACUGGGCUGUAACUGACGCUGAUGCACGAAAGUGUGGGGAUCAAACAGG
rnacentral:rRNA from 1 species